rnacentral:lncRNA from 1 species
AGUAUAUUGCUGAAACAUUCUUGACAAUGCUGUUUCUUUUAUGCAGCUACUCAACAUUCAGAAGACCCCAACCAAGUUUGGCAGUGGAUUUAGCAAAGUUUAGAUGACAGCAGAAUGGUAUCAAGAAACCUUGCCUGUAACUUAAAAGAGGUGGAGCACAAACUAGAACAGGAAGACUACUCCCAUCUGAAAGAUGCUAUACAUGACAAC